rnacentral:rRNA from 1 species
UCGAUGAAAGACGCAGCAAACUGCGCGUCGUCAUGUGAAGUGCAGGACACAUGAACAUCGACAUUUUGAACGCACAUUGCGGCCCUGGGAUUUCUAUCCAAGGGCCCACGCCUGUCUGAGGGUCG